rnacentral:rRNA from 1 species
GACGAACGCUGGCGGCGUGCCUAAUACAUGCAAGUAGAACGCACAGGAUGCACCGUAGUUUACUACACCGUAUUCUGUGAGUUGCGAACGGGUGAGUAACGCGUAGGUAACCUGCCUGGUAGCGGGGGAUAACUAUUGGAAACGAUAGCUAAUACCGCAUAAGAACAUUUACUGCAUGGUAGAUGUUUAAAAGGUGCAAAUGCAUCACUACCAGAUGGACCUGCGUUGUAUUAGCUAGUAGGUGAGGUAACGGCUCACCUAGGCGACGAUACAUAGCCGACCUGAGAGGGUGAUCGGCCACACUGGGACUGAGACACGGCCCAGACUCCUACGGGAGGCAGCAGUAGGGAAUCUUCGGCAAUGGGGGGGACCCUGACCGAGCAACGCCGCGUGAGUGAAGAAGGUUUUCGGAUCGUAAAGCUCUGUUGUUAAGGAAGAACGAGUGUGAGAAUGGAAAGUUCAUACUGUGACGGUACUUAACCAGAAAGGGACGGCUAACUAC